CAUCGCCGUACCAAGGCGAUGCGGCGAGCUUGACUUGCUCGGCGGCGUGGAUCUCGGAGCGAAGCAGGUCCGUGCCGGUCCGAUCGGCGAAGG
rnacentral:tRNA from 1 species